GGAGGCAGCCCAGCACACUGGUGGUGUGUGUGUGUGUGUGUGUGUGUGUGUGUGAACGUGUGCAUGCAUGUGUAUUUCUCAAUGUGGCAUCAUCCAGCAUGUGGUGAGGGUCACUCACCUUGGUCACCAUUUCGAACAUCGGGAUCAGGACAAACUUGAUGAACCCAAUUUGGGCCGUGGCUUUAGUCACUUUGUCUCGGUCCAUGAAAGGGGCCACGGGGAGGCCUUCCGACUUCUCGCGGUCGCUCUGCGGGGAUGCAAGAGACUGAAAGGCUAGAGAGAAACCGCGGACUCUGGGGGGCCCCGAGGGUCACCGGUCUCAGAGGACAGAAGGCGGGUUAAUGUGCCGCCGACCAGACUGCUCUGUCUGGGGACCUUAAUAGUGACCAGGACAGACGUCGGGAGCUCACGUGCCCACUAGAGCAUCCACUGGGCAUGCAAGGCUGCGCCAUGACCCAGGGCGGAGGGACAGGCCGGGCCGGUGACGCCCCUGCCUUCUCCUGGGGGGGGGGGGUCCACCACACUGCCGUCGCGAGCGCCUUCCUGGCCCUAACGGCAUCCCCCGCAUGGGCUGGCCUGGUGUCCUGUCUGAGGGCCUCCCCAGGUCUCGAAAUGCAGGCCAACCUGCUCCAUGCCACCUGCCCCAGGGAGCCGCCCCUCCAGCCUCUGCUUUCCUCCCUCUGCUUCUGACCGCCCCCUCUGGCUGCUCCUUCAUGGUCCUAGGUGGCACCUGUUAGCGUCACUUUUCCAGGCUAUCCCUGCUUUUCAUGUGUCACCUGCUUAUCUUGGAUGUGCACCUGCCGUGAGGCUUCCCGGAGGCUGGAGACACCGUCCAUCCCGUCCCCUAGUCCCUGGGCCUCAUGCAUCCCCCUUCGAACAUGGGACCCUUCAAGGGGGUCUGGUGGCUUUGGGACACUCUUACCUGCAUGAAAUAUUCCUCUAACAGGCAGUCCACCCACGGUUCCGCCACUUCCAUCGGACGCACCUCGUUGGAGAUAUCACAGCAUUUUAUCAAAAUCAUCUUCAGCUGGAGGAGAGAGGAGGGCUCAGGCAGCGGGGCCGGGGCACGUCCCCUGCCGCUGUUUGGGUCUGGGUUUCGUCCUCCCGGGGACUGGCCCUCCGAGCCCGGUGAGGUUUGGGCGCCCAGCGGGCAUGUAAGCAGACCGGCCAGGUCUGAGACCCGGCCAGAGCAUUUGCACCUGAGCCUGAGGGCGAGUGCCUUCAGGGCCAGCCCUCGACCGUCCCUGGGAAUCACCGCUGUCCGGGGCCCAAGUGCAGGCCAGCACUUGGCGUGGACCUGACUCAGCAGGAAGUGCACUUGGGCACAGCAGCUCGGGCUGUGGGCCCUGAAUGCGCCUGACCUCCUGGGAGGAGCAGGUGGGAGACGUCCGUGGCAAGGCUGAACUUGGGGUGACUCGGCUGCCCUUCUCCCUGUAACCUGGCCGCCACCCUUCCUGAGGAAUCCCUGGGAAUGGACCCCGGCCUUCCUGGUGUCUGCUCUGCCAGCUCCAGAGCGCAGGCCAUCACAGGCUGGCACAGAGCAUGGCACAGGCUGGGCACCCUUGGGCCCUCAAGCCCAGCCUCGCGGAGCACGUCAGUGUCAGGCCUCUUCUUGGGCGCCCGGGCUGAGGCCCUUGAAUCCGUUUUGACCCAGAGCUUCUCCGCUCUUGGGCCCUCCCUCCACCGCCCCUGCACCUCCCCCAGCCCCUCCCUGCGUACAGAAGCGGGAGAUUCUGGGGCUCCUCGGCCCGGGCACGAGCCUCUGGGCUGCGCUACGGGCUGCCCCUCGCCCAGUGUGGAGGUGGGUGGAACUCCGGGGACCCUGCCCCUCCCCCGUGCUUGGACGGUUGAAGUGAGGGAGUGGAGGGGACAUCGUCACCCUGUGCGGCUCACGUCUUGUCACCGGCAUCUGGCCUCCUGCCCCCAAGGGUCUUUCCUCAUGUUUCAGAGGGAAAGCGGAAGGACAAAGUGCCCAGUCUACUGGCCCCUCCGUCUCCCGACACCCCGUCCUCGCCCUGCCGUAGGGGCAGGCGGCACCUCCCACACCCGCUGGCUUUUCGGGAGCAGGGACUUGGCUCCUAUGUGACCCCGUCCCUGAGCGCUCAGUCCCCACGAAGCCGUGGGAGGCCCUGGCUCCAGGGGGCACUUUCUCCUGCUGUGUAACUCCGCAGAGUGCGAGGUCCUCCCCACACACCUCGGGGGCUGGCUAGGAUGCGGUCUUGGGGACCUGGUGGUCAGAGGGGCAGCCAGACCUCAGAGGGCUUCCUUGUUGAUCGGUUUCCAGGGACAGAAAGUGACCAUCGGUUUUAGAGAGAGAGAGAAGGCCAGGAAGCAGGCCCCACGCCCAGACAAGGCUCAGCCUCGCCCCUUCCUCUGAAGAUGGGGGAGGAUGUUUCCAUGUUUCUCUCACAAAGGGCGGGCACGGUGCAGACAGAGGGGGGCCCUCCUCGUGGUGAAGCGCCCUCCCCUUCCCUGCACAGCUGGCCCACUCUCAGAGGGCUGGGCCUGGAGGGGUGCCACGGCCAGAGGCGGGGGUCCUGUGGGUCCCUGGGCCGCCCUGCGCCCGCUCUCGGGACCCCUCGCUCCAGGGCAAGGUCAGGGUUCUGGUGUCGGGGUGUCACGUCUGGGCUGGCGCAGGGGUGCGUGCGCCCGCCUCCAGAGCAGGGGGAGCAGGCUACUCACAAGGGUCACGUGCUCCUCGUUGCUGUAGUCAAAAUUCUCCAUUUUUUCUUUGAAAGAAUCCAUAAUCUCUGCGUGUCUUGCCAUGUCGGUGGCUAAAAUCAGAGUGAUCAUCCCCUGGAAAGUGAGAGCAAAGCGUCAGCCCCGGCCGUGAGCCCAGCAGGACCCAGUGAGUCCCCAGCCCUCCCCGGGGUCCUGGGCCAGCGCGUCGGGUGCUCUGGGCGUCUCUGUCCUCGUCUGUCGGAGGACGGUACUCCCUCUCAGUUCAGGAGUCCAGCCCACACGGUCCCUGUCACAUCCUGCUGCUGCAGGGCAGUGACCAACUUUCUGGGAGUCCUUUGUUCCCUGUCGUCUGUCUGUACGUGGCUGCACGCUGUGCUGGGGUGGUCGAAGUCAGGUUGUGUCUGACAGCGUCAUUCCGCUAACACAUUUGUAAAUGAGGAUGCGGUGGUUUCCUGGCUACAAAUAUCUUAGUUCCUUGUCCAGCAAAUACUCGUUUAAGAAGCAGCAGAAAUCAAAGCCGUGGCCGUCCGUCUGUUCCUGAAACGUUUACGAGACGCCCUGUGCGCGGCGUGCCUCUGCCCCGGCAUCGGCCACACCAGUCACCCCUGGGCGUCUGGGAGGGGCGCCGCCGGCAGUUUGAAUUUCUGUGUGUCGUGAAGGGUCCCCUCCUGUGAUGAGUUAUCCUUACAAAUACUCGACGACCAAAUAUUAUGAAGAAUCGGGCUGAACGAUUUCACAGUCAGCAAGUCUCAUGUUUGACGUUGGUCAAGUGUUGGAGGUCAGUCCCUGCAGGACCUCCUCACUGCAGCCGUCGGGGCCUCUCCACGACUCGCCCCUUCUCGCGCUGAUGCAGAGGAAGACGCGUCAGGGCUCAUCCCAACAGCUCCUGGCGCCCCGGCUGGUGUCUCCAGAGCAUGGACGAGAGGCUGGGAAGCCCGUGGAUAAAGGGGACGGUAGCUGAACUGGGAAUCGGUGACUCGGUGGGGACCGUCCUUCAGCACCGGCCUCGGCUCUGAUGGAGAACAACGUUCUCUGAUGAAGGCCAGCCCCUCGGACUCCAGGAGGGAGAGCCCGGUCCCGCGUCUCUAUCCAGUGCGCCUUGAAGCGAGGCCGCGGCCCCGGGUGGACAAGGCUGUCAUCCAUAGCACCACGAAGGUGGCUCCCUGCACGUGUGUCCUGAGGCUGCCGCACAAGUGUCACCCAUCAGGUGACGGGGAACCCCAGGGGCACCCUCUCCAUUCCGGAGGCCAUAAGUCUGAAGGCUCCAGGAAACCGUCCCUCCUGACUUUUCCCGUCUGUGGCCCCGGGCGCUCCUUGACUUGGGCCCAUGUCACUCCAGCCUCUGCCUCCGUCCUUACGGGACUUUCUCCUCCGAGUGUCUGUCUCCCCCUGGGUCUCUUCUAAGGACACCUGUCACUGGGGUUAGGCCCACCUGGACAUCACCGAUAAUCUCACACAGAUUCUCACUUAGUCACCCGGGCAAAGGUUCUUUUAAAUAAAGUCACACACACAAGGUUCUGGGGUUA